GAAGUGGUAGUUCAGUGGCAGAAUUCUUGCCUUCUACGUGGGAAACUCAGGUUCGAUUCCCAGCCAAUCCA
rnacentral:tRNA from 1 species